rnacentral:rRNA from 1 species
CGGAGGGUGCAAGCGUUAUCCGGAUUCACUGGGUUUAAAGGGUGCGUAGGAGGGCAGGUAAGUCAGUGGUGAAAUCUUCGAGCUUAACUCGGAAACUGCCGUUGAUACUAUCUGUCUUGAAUACCGUGGAGAUGAGCGGAAUAUGUCAUGUAGCGGUGAAAUGCUUAGAUAUGACAUAGAACACCAAUUGCGAAGGCAGCUCGUUACACGCAUAUUGACUCUGAGGCACGAAAGCGUGGGGAUCAAACAGGAUUAGAUACCCUGGUAGUCCACGCCCUAAACGAUGGAUACUCGACAUACGCGAUACACUGUGUGUGUCUGAGCGAAAGCAUUAAGUAUCCCACCUGGGAAGUACGACCGCAAGGUUG